rnacentral:rRNA from 1 species
AUUGAACGCUGGCGGAAUGCUUUACACAUGCAAGUCGAGCGGCAGCGCGGCCUUCGGGCUGACGGCGAGCGGCGAACGGGUGAGUAAUGCAUCGGAACAUGCCCAGUCGUGGGGGAUAACACUUCGAAAGAAGUGCUAAUACCGCAUACGUCCUGAGGGGGAAAGCGGGGGAUCGCAAGACCUCGCGCGAUUGGAGUGGCCGAUGUCAGAUUAGCUAGUUGGUGGGGUAAAGGCCUACCAAGGCGACGAUCUGUAGCUGGUCUGAGAGGAUGAUCAGCCACACUGGGACUGAGACACGGCCCAGACUCCUACGGGAGGCAGCAGUGGGGAAUUUUGGACAAUGGGGGCAACCCUGAUCCAGCCAUUCCGCGUGAGUGAAGAAGGCCUUCGGGUUGUAAAGCUCUUUCGGCAGGAACGAAACGGUGGGCUCUAACAUAGUCCGCUAAUGACGGUACCUGAAGAAGAAGCACCGGCUAACUACGUG